rnacentral:rRNA from 1 species
UGAGGAAUAUUGGUCAAUGGGCGAGAGCCUGAACCAGCCAAGUAGCGUGCAGGAAGACGGCCCUAUGGGUUGUAAACUGCUUUUAUGUGGGGAUAAAGUGCGUGACGUGUCAUGCAUUGCAGGUACCACAUGAAUAAGGACCGGCUAAUUCCGUGCCAGCAGCCGCGGUAAUACGGAAGGUCCGGGCGUUAUCCGGAUUUAUUGGGUUUAAAGGGAGCGUAGGCUGUCUAUUAAGCGUGUUGUUAAAUAUACCGGCUCAACCGGUGGCUUGCAGCGCGAACUGGUCGACUUGAGUAUGCAGGAAGUAGGCGGAAUUCAUGGUGUAGCGAUGAAAUGCUUAGAUAUCAUGACGAACUCCGAUUGCGCAGGCAGCUUACUGUAGCAUAACUGACGCUGAUGCUCGAAAGUGCGGGUAUCAAACAGG